rnacentral:rRNA from 1 species
GUAGGGGGCAAGCGUUGUCCGGAAUCACUGGGCGUAAAGCGCGCGCAGGCGGCUGUCUACGUCCGGGGUGAAAGCCCAGAGCUCAACUCUGGGAUUGCCUUGGAUACGGGAUGGCUUGAGGAUCGGAGAGGCAAGGGGAAUUCCACGUGUAGCGGUGAAAUGCGUAGAGAUGUGGAGGAACACCUGUGGCGAAGGCGCCUUGCUGGCCGAUUUCUGACGCUGAGGCGCGAAAGCGUGGGGAGCAAACAGGAUUAGAUACCCUGGUAGUCCACGCCGUAAACGAUGAGUGCUAGGUGUUGGGGGGUACCACCCUCAGUGCCGAAGCUAACGCAUUAAGCACUCCGCCUGGGGAGUACGGUCGCAAGACUG